UGUGAACUCGAAGAGUAGGGCGGGACACGUGGUAUCCUGUCUGAAUAUGGGGGGACCAUCCUCCAAGGCUAAAUACUCCUGACUGACCGAUAGUGAACCAGUACCGUGAGGGAAAGGCGAAAAGAACCCCGGCGAGGGGAGUGAAAAAGAACCUGAAACCGUGUACGUACAAGCAGUGGGAGCACCUUCGGGUGUGACUGCGUACCUUUUGUAUAAUGGGUCAGCGACUUAUAUUCUGUAGCAAGGUUAACCGUAUAGGGGAGCCGCAGGGAAACCGAGUCUUAACUGGGCGUUAAGUUGCAGGGUAUAGACCCGAAACCCGGUGAUCUAGCCAUGGGCAGGUUGAAGGUUGGGUAACACUAACUGGAGGACCGAACCGACUAAUGUUGAAAAAUUAGCGGAUGACUUGUGGCUGGGGGUGAAAGGCCAAUCAAACCGGGAGAUAGCUGGUUCUCCCCGAAAGCUAUUUAGGUAGCGCCUCGUGAACUCAUCUUCGGGGGUAGAGCACUGUUUCGGCUAGGGGGUCAUCCCGACUUACCAACCCGAUGCAAACUACGAAUACCGAAGAAUGUUAUCACGGGAGACACACGGCGGGUGCUAACGUCCGUCGUGAAGAGGGAAACAACCCAGACCGCCAGCUAAGGUCCCAAAGUCAUGGUUAAGUGGGAAACGAUGUGGGAAGGCACAGACAGCCAGGAUGUUGGCUUAGAAGCAGCCAUCAUUUAAAGAAAGCGUAAUAGCUCACUGGUCGAGUCGGCCUGCGCGGAAGAUGUAACGGGGCUAAACCAUGCACCGAAGCUGCGGCAGCGACACUAUGUGUUGUUGGGUAGGGGAGCGUUCUGUAAGCCUGCGAAGGUGUGCUGUGAGGCAUGCUGGAGGUAUCAGAAGUGCGAAUGCUGACAUAAGUAACGAUAAAGCGGGUGAAAAGCCCGCUCGCCGGAAGACCAAGGGUUCCUGUCCAACGUUAAUCGGGGCAGGGUGAGUCGACCCCUAAGGCGAGGCCGAAAGGCGUAGUCGAUGGGAAACAGGUUAAUAUUCCUGUACUUGGUGUUACUGCGAAGGGGGGACGGAGAAGGCUAUGUUAGCCGGGCGACGGUUGUCCCGGUUUAAGCAUGUAGGCUGGUUAUCCAGGCAAAUCCGGAUAAUCAAGGCUGAGGUGUGAUGACGAGGCACUACGGUGCUGAAGUAACAAAUGCCCUGCUUCCAGGAAAAGCCUCUAAGCAUCAGGUAACAUCAAAUCGUACCCCAAACCGACACAGGUGGUCAGGUAGAGAAUACCAAGGCGCUUGAGAGAACUCGGGUGAAGGAACUAGGCAAAAUGGUGCCGUAACUUCGGGAGAAGGCACGCUGGUGUGUAGGUGAAGUCCCUGCGGAUGGAGCUGAGACCAGUCGAAGAUACCAGCUGGCUGCAACUGUUUAUUAAAAACACAGCACUGUGCAAACACGAAAGUGGACGUAUACGGUGUGACGCCUGCCCGGUGCCGGAAGGUUAAUUGAUGGGGUUAUCCGUAAGGAGAAGCUCUUGAUCGAAGCCCCGGUAAACGGCGGCCGUAACUAUAACGGUCCUAAGGUAGCGAAAUUCCUUGUCGGGUAAGUUCCGACCUGCACGAAUGGCGUAAUGAUGGCCAGGCUGUCUCCACCCGAGACUCAGUGAAAUUGAACUCGCUGUGAAGAUGCAGUGUACCCGCGGCAAGACGGAAAGACCCCGUGAACCUUUACUAUAGCUUGACACUGAACAUUGAGCCUUGAUGUGUAGGAUAGGUGGGAGGCUUUGAAGCGUGGACGCCAGUCUGCGUGGAGCCAACCUUGAAAUACCACCCUUUAAUGUUUGAUGUUCUAACGUUGGCCCCUGACCGGGGUUGCGGACAGUGUCUGGUGGGUAGUUUGACUGGGGCGGUCUCCUCCCAAAGCGUAACGGAGGAGCACGAAGGUUAGCUAAUCCUGGUCGGACAUCAGGAGGUUAGUGCAAUGGCAUAAGCUAGCUUGACUGCGAGCGUGACGGCGCGAGCAGGUGCGAAAGCAGGUCAUAGUGAUCCGGUGGUUCUGAAUGGAAGGGCCAUCGCUCAACGGAUAAAAGGUACUCCGGGGAUAACAGGCUGAUACCGCCCAAGAGUUCAUAUCGACGGCGGUGUUUGGCACCUCGAUGUCGGCUCAUCACAUCCUGGGGCUGAAGUAGGUCCCAAGGGUAUGGCUGUUCGCCAUUUAAAGUGGUACGCGAGCUGGGUUUAGAACGUCGUGAGACAGUUCGGUCCCUAUCUGCCGUGGGCGCUGGAGAAUUGAGGGGGGCUGCUCCUAGUACGAGAGGACCGGAGUGGACGCAUCACUGGUGUUCGGGUUGUCAUGCCAAUGGCACUGCCCGGUAGCUAAAUGCGGAAGAGAUAAGUGCUGAAAGCAUCUAAGCACGAAACUUGCCCCGAGAUGAGUUCUCCCUGAGACUUUAAGUCUCCUGAAGGAACGUUGAAGACGACGACGUUGAUAGGCCGGGUGUGUAAGCGCAGCGAUGCGUUGAGCUAACCGGUACUAAUGAACCGUGAGGCUUAACCUUACAACGCCGAAG
rnacentral:rRNA from 1 species